CCGGAACGACCGCUUCGGCGUGGUCCGUCUCGUGGCGACGUGGAGGCGAUACACGGACCGCUUGGAUUCUCCAGGGUGACGAGGAUCAUCCCCCUGUAAUGGAGCAAAUAACGGAAUCUAAGGGAAGCUAGCUCCGAGCAUUAUCAUCUUUUCUCCAAACGCACGGUCACGUCACGGAACGCUGUCGGGAAGAAUCCGGAAACUAGGACGACUUCAAAAAUCCGAGGGCAGAGGAAGAGGAGAGAGGCCCGUCCCGGCCAGAGACGGAACGGGAAAGCGCACCGGCCCCCCCAGAGGACUCCGCUUCGUCCGAGCGAG